UUGAAAGUCUUCUUCACAUACUUCACGCACACCUCUUCUCUUCUAUCUUCUCCCACCCACGGUGCUGCCGCCAAGGGGGCACGCAGCGGCCGUCAAGGGGACUCGUCAAGGUUCUAGUCGUGCCCUAUCCGCAACUCGGAUUCGCUACGGCCAGCGUGAGUCUCCACUACUCACUAGCGCUGUCGCCCCCAACUGGCACCCUGACGUACAACAGCAGCGAACAAGACUCCAGAAGGCGGCAAGCACCCCCUACCUGUAGCGAGGUGGCAAUCUCACCUGACGGCGGCACACCUUCGAACAUAGGCUGGUAAACAUGUCAUCCACUGCUUCGGGUAGUUCUACAAGUAACCAUUCCAUAGAUAUCUACACAUCCCAAACACGCUUCGGGUAGUUCUAUAAGUAACUAUUCCAUAGAGAUCUACACAUCCCAAACACCACGCCGUACAAGGUCUGCUGUUUGGAAACACUUUGAGCAAAGUUUAGUCGAUGUCGAUGGUGAUCUAAAGGCUAGUUGUAAGUACUGUAGACUGCACAUGAACACCAAAUUUGGCACGAGCAGUCUAAGAGGUCAUAUUGCUAAUGCCUGCCCAGCUAUUGAUGCUCAUAUCAGACAAAAGUUUCAAGCCUCCCUUACUAAGCAAUCAUCAGCAGAACCUUUUGUGUUUGACCCUCA